rnacentral:rRNA from 1 species
AUUGAACGCUGGCGGCAGGCCUAACACAUGCAAGUCGAGCGGAUGAAGGGAGCUUGCUCCUGGAUUCAGCGGCGGACGGGUGAGUAAUGCCUAGGAAUCUGCCUGGUAGUGGGGGAUAACGUCCGGAAACGGGCGCUAAUACCGCAUACGUCCUGAGGGAGAAAGUGGGGGAUCUUCGGACCUCACGCUAUCAGAUGAGCCUAGGUCGGAUUAGCUAGUUGGUGGGGUAAAGGCCUACCAAGGCGACGAUCCGUAACUGGUCUGAGAGGAUGAUCAGUCACAUGGGAGCUGGGACAGGGACCAGAGUCCUACGAGAGGGAGCAGUGGGGAAUAGUGGACAGUGGGCGAGAGCCUGGUACAACCAUGCCGAGUGUGUGAAGAAGGUCUUCGGAUUGUAAAGCACUUUAAGUUGGGAGGAAGGGCAGUAAGUUAAUACCUUGCUGGUUUGACGUUAACAACAGAAGAAGCACCGGCUAACUUCGUG